ACGCUCGACACCUACGGGAGGCAGCAGUGGGGAAUAUUGCACAAUGGGGGAAACCCUGAUGCAGCGACGCCGCGUGAGCGAAGAAGUAUUUCGGUAUGUAAAGCUCUAUCAGCAGGGAAGAAACUGACGGUACCUGACUAAGAAGCACCGGCUAAAUACGUACCAGCAGCCGCGGUAAUCUGAGCGGGCUGGCAAGGC
rnacentral:rRNA from 1 species